GGGCUGUAGCUCAGUGGUAGAGUGCUUGCCUAGUACAUGCAAGGCCCUGGGUUUGAUCCCCAGAAACACA
rnacentral:tRNA from 1 species